AUUGGUUGGCUGCCGCCUGAUGGAUGAAGGAGGGAGGAGUGAACUCUCUUCAGUGUGUUCUGACGGAGCCGAAGUACAGAAACCAUAUUUACAGGUACAUGUGACAGUGCUGCAGCUAUGAGUGGAAUUUUAAAGGGGAAGUUUGAAGAAGUUGACGGCUCCUCGCCCUGCUCUUCUGUGCAGGAAUCAGAUGAUGAAGUUUUUAGCUGUGACAGUGCUGAGAGUGUUGAUAGUGUCAAUCCAUCCACUUCUAAUGACUUUACCAGGAAGAAUAAGGAAAUAUCAACAGACUGAAAAAAUGUUUUCAAAGGCAUAGAGUCUUCAGGAAGAUACUGAAGUUCUGAGAUCUCAAGGU